rnacentral:rRNA from 1 species
CGACGGCAGCACGGGAGCAAUCCUGGUGGCGAGUGGCGAACGGGUGAGUAAUAUAUCGGAACGUGCCCAGUCGUGGGGGAUAACGUAGCGAAAGCUACGCUAAUACCGCAUACGAUCUAUGGAUGAAAGCGGGGGAUCGCAAGACCUCGCGCGAUUGGAGCGGCCGAUAUCAGAUUAGCUAGUUGGUGGGGUAAAAGCCCACCAAGGCGACGAUCUGUAGCUGGUCUGAGAGGACGACCAGCCACACUGGAACUGAGACACGGUCCAGACUCCUACGGGAGGCAGCAGCGGGGAAUUUUGGACAAUGGGCGCAAGCCUGAUCCAGCAAUGCCGCGUGCAGGACGAAGGCCUUCGGGUUGUAAACUGCUUUUGUACGGAACGAAAAAGUCUGCCCUAAUACGGUGGGCUCAUGACGGUACCGUAAGAAUAAGCACCGGCUAACUACGUGCCAGCAGCCGCGGUAAUACGUAGGGUGCAAGCGUUAAUCGGAAUUACUGGGCGUAAAGCGUGCGCAGGCGGUUAUAUAAGACAGAUGUGAAAUCCCCGGGCUCAACCUGGGACCUGCAUUUGUGACUGUAUAGCUAGAGUACGGCAGAGGGGGAUGGAAUUCCGCGUGUAGCAGUGAAAUGCGUAGAUAUGCGGAGGAACACCGAUGGCGAAGGCAAUCCCCUGGGCCUGUACUGACGCUCAUGCACGAAAGCGUGGGGAGCAAACAGGAUUAGAUACCCUGGUAGUCCACGCCCUAAACGAUGUCAACUGGUUGUUGGGUCUUCACUGACUCAGUAACGAAGCUAACGCGUGAAGUUGACCGCCUGGGGAGUACG